UUUUUCCAGGGCUGCUCUGUAUCCCCAGUCCGGCCCUGACCAUGGUGACCACGGGUAAUGGGGAAUCAGGGUUCGCUUACGAAGAGGGAGCCUGAGAAACGGCUACUACAUCCAAGGAAGGCAGCAGGCGCGCAAUUUACCCACUCCCGACGCGGGGAGGUAGUGAUGAAAAAUAACAAUACAGGACUCUUUCGAGGCCCUGUAAUUGGAAUGAGUACACUUUAAAUCCUCUAACAAGGAUCUAUUGGAGGGCAAGUCUGGUGCCAGCAGCCGCGGUAAUUCCAGCUCCAA